rnacentral:lncRNA from 1 species
AUCGAGGAGGUCUUUAAUUGGCAGACUUCAGGGACCACAGAGGGAGAAGACAGAGUGAGCUCUGGAGAAAUGAGAGUGAAUAUUCCUGAUUUCCACUGGAUGACUUUGACUGGUAUGAUUUCAUUCUCUGAAAGUGUUAACCAGGGUGCAGCAUGGCCAGAAACCAUUCCGAGCCUCAUGAAGUGGGCAAGUCAGGUUUGGUCAUUUUUGGUAAUGUCAUUGCAUGUACACAGUUUAAGACAGAGCAUCUGGUGAUUCUCGGACCUUCAAGCAAGUGUCACAUCUCAGGUGAACCUUGGCAGUUUUAAGAUGAACAAAGUAAUCAAAGCAAAAAUGUCAAAUAAUAAUAAUAAUAAUGAUAUCAGAAGAAUGUCCAGUGCCAUGGUUGGAUUCCCAGAAGGCAGCAUCUGCUCAUGCCAUCAACAACAUGGUGCCAUUUCAGUCAUCCUCUUUUUGUCCCAAAGACAGAAAAAAAAUAGAAAAAAGAAAGAGAAAAAGACACCACGAACCGUCUAUCCUCCUGGUAAUACAAAUACACCUGUAAAUAAACAUGUCAAUGUCUACACACAACGCACAUUUAUGCAGAAUCCAUCCUCUCGGUGCUUCCGUAGUUAUCAAGUAAAAGUCCUUCUAAGCCUAAGAAAUGAUAGUAUUAAUUCAGUCUUGGGGUGUGGGGGGAAAGGUGGACUAUCAUCAAAUAAAAAAGGCGAGGCUAAUUAAGUGACAUCCACUGGGGACUGGGAAAAGAAGAGACUUCUUGUGGGAAAGUAAUUAUAUCUUCAUUGACCCUCCUGGGGUACCCCCAGUGGCAGGGACUCUGCCUCGCGGUGUGACAUCUCCUUUCGGGAUGAGCAGCCAGUCACCUCGAGAAGCCCCCUUCUCCAUGGAUGCGUUUUCUAAUCAUUUCACAUGAUUGAGCCUCCAGCAAGUGAUGCUUUACUUAAUUCCUUUCCGCCUGUAGGGUGUGAGGUUUGGAGGGCCUCUCGUCAAAACUUUGGAGGGCUCUGUCAGUUUGAAAAGAACAUGACCUUUAAAUUGUAUCAGUAUGUUUGCUGGUGCAUAAGGGAGAGGAAAAGGUUCGUCCUGAUGGAAAACCACUCAGAAGCCAAGGAGUAAUUCAGAGGGAACCAGCCCAGGAAGAAUCAAGAAAGCUGCCCACAGUGUCAUUCUUCAGCUGAGAAAAGAGAGAGUUGACUAACUCCUCGGACUGGAGUGAGGACUCACAGAGGUGGUAGGACACUAACCAUCUAUGUCUCCAUUUCCUGGGUUGUAACACUGAGGUAGAACAUCUCACUGUCCCAUGGAGGAUUAUGUUAUUUUUGGAGAUUAAUAAUUUUGGAGGAAGAAAGGUGGCUUCCUGAAAAGGAAGUCACAUGAAGAAGCAACUUACACGGUGGUCUCUUUAAAUAAACAUAUUGUGACUAGACAAUGUAUUUGUUCUUUGUAGCAGGAAAGAGCAAUGAGCAGGCUUCUGACUCUAAGCCCUGUUUAUCCUCACGUUGUGAAGCAUAAUCAUUUGUCAGCUUAGGUGAAGCCCCUGUGCCCGGCUGCAAGCCACGGUGCUGUGAAGUAUUGACUGAGUCCGGGUGCCUAAUGCAAAAU